rnacentral:rRNA from 1 species
CAGCAGCCACGGGAAUACGUAGGUGGCAAGCGUUGUCCGGAAUUAUUGGGCGUAAAGGGCUCGCAGGCGGUUUCUUAAGUCUGAUGUGAAAGCCCCCGGCUCAACCGGGGAGGGUCAUUGGAAACUGGGAAACUUGAGUGCAGAAGAGGAGAGUGGAAUUCCACGUGUAGCGGUGAAAUGCGUAGAGAUGUGGAGGAACACCAGUGGCGAAGGCGACUCUCUGGUCUGUAACUGACGCUGAGGAGCGAAAGCGUGGGGAGCGAGCAGGAUUAGAUACCCCAGUAGUCCCUGUCUCUUAUAC